CCCGGACUCCCUCCCGGCUAGCCGCGGUGCACUAACGCCCUGCAGGCUGUGUUCACGCCGCCAACCUCAGUCCUCUCCCGUUGCUCCGAGAGAAGCCGGAGCCUCAGCUCCCAGCCCCGCCCGCCCCGUCGGGCGAGCAGAUAAGCCUCUCGGCUGAGAUCUCUGGAUUGUCAACAGGGAUAUUUGCCCGAAGUCAUCUUGCUUAACUGUUUACCCAGUUCAAAUUCCUUAUAUAAUACUCUCCACUUGGUGAUGAGUAAGCAUGGUUCAAUUUCACCAAAUCAGCAUUUUGUAAAAUGCAACUCAUGGAUUUUCUCUGGGUCGUAUAUAAAAAGAAAAAGGUUUCUGUGGUCAAGAAUAGUAAACAGUCCUCUCUCUUGCCCCUGCAACCCAAGGCACUUAUUUUUAUUUAUGUACUUGUUAGGACUGAUUGAAGAUUACUUUGUGCCUGGCACUUUUAUGCAUUCUGUCAUUUAAUUCUUGCAAUGCAGUUAUGAGCCAUGUGCUAAUCAAUUUUAUGUGUAAGAAACUUGGAAUCAGAAAAGUUAAGUGAUGAUCCUAACUAAUGAUUAGUGGCUGAAUUAGGAUUUGAACACAAAUCUGCCAUUUAAUACAAAAUCUUUUACCAAUUUUUUUCUUUCUUCAGUGGCAAAUUAUCCUGAGAAACUUGUUUUCCGUGAAGCACACCCUGGAAAAAUUUUUAAAUGGAGAAAAAAUGAUGCAAAUAUACCAGUUUUAAUUGGUGACAAGCAUCUUUUUAUAGAAGUACAAUUAAAGUGCCACCUGAGACAUCCAA